GGUUUGGCUUGAAAUGUCAUAUUUCAGAAUGUGCAUAGAGGCCAGGGGUGGUGGAUCACACCUGUGAUCCACCUGCCUCGGCCUCCCAAAGUGUUGAGAUUACAGGCAUGAGCCACUGCACCUGGCCUGCUCAGUGACUUCUAACAUUGCUGCUGUACCUGGGUAAAUACUUCCAGUCAUAUUUAAGCGGGCUUGGAGUUGGCAAAAUCUCUGAGAGAGACAUCUUCGGAAAGCCUCCAUGCUGGACUUAGUGGAUAAAGUUUCCAAUGUCCAGAUAUUUUCAGCUGGUUUCUCCUUGGUAUAGGAUUUCUUCUGCAUUCUACCCUGCACAUCUUAAUGAUAACCCUCAUAUUUUGGCUAAGCAUUUGACUCCCCUUUAGAAUUGUUCUAACUUGUUUUUAACAGAUGUCUACAAGAGAUUCCCACCAGGAUCCUGCCCAUGCAAUCUUUGAGACUUUAAACUCACUCCAGCUGGAAAUAGGAACCAACUUAACCCAAGAGACUUUGGUUCACAUUUAACCAGUACUUUCCUGAAUGCCUCUCCUAAGUAAAUGGCUCUAGUUUCUCUAUUGGCCACUGCACUGCCACUAGGAUUCCUGCAAGGGAUCCGAUGGGCCCAGAGCAGGUAGCCAACCACUUCUCUGUUGGAUGGAAUGCAAUGCUGUUUGCCAGCAUGUUUGAGCCAGUCCUUCAAGAUGGAUUCUGAGUGACUAACUGGACCUAAAUUUAAAUAGCACAAAGCAGCCAUUUGCUAACUAGAUUUCAUACAAAUGCUCUGAGUUCCUGGAAAACCCACACUCCUUAACUUUGGGACUUUCAAGACUCACCUAAAUCAAUCAAUUAAAGCUCACUUGUGUCAGCUAAUCAGGGAUCAGCUGUAUUGACUAAUGAAAACUAAGCGAGUUUCAAAUUUUAACCAUUUAUUUGUGUAGAAGACUUGAUUGGGAGCCUGGGUAUGAAUACUUGCUAUAAAAUCUGAGCAUUCCCUUUGUUCUCUGGAGCAAACAAUGUUAAGUUGUUAACUCUCUGUACCUUUCUCUAGAACUGGAUGGAAACAACUCCAUCUGAAAUGCAGCCCUAAUACCAGGGAACUCCUACAGUAAAGCGCUAAACAACUUUAUUACUCUAACCAACGUUUAUGUCCCUAAUCAGCAAGAAGUAGUUAGAAUGGUCAUCAUCCCUUUCCCUCAAGAUUGAGGAAUGGACAUAAAAAGGAGGGGAUUUGUAACUGCUCCAGACUGAUCUGUUGUCAGAAAGGGGCUCUUGAACCAGACCAUGAAAGAGGGUUCUUGGAUCUCCUGCAGGAAGGAAUUCAAGGAGAGUCACAGAGUGUAGAGAGAAUAGACAGUUUAUUGAAAGCUACUCAGUUACAGAGUAGGGCAUCCUCCAAAAGCAGGAGGAGGAAUGUGCUGUCUUUGUUUUAAACUCUUCUUUUAUAGGGGUUUAAUCUAUGUAAAACCUAAGCUAUGUCUACAUGUGGGUAGGCUGUCAGUGUGACAAAAUUUAGUAUUUUGUUGAUAUAAAGAAACUUAUCCUUGUCAUCUUAGUGCAUAAGUACAUCAAAGUAUGACUUUAGCUACCUUAAAAGCAUGUAUUGUUAUGUGAUAUUGGGACAUCUGGACAUUCUGCUGUCGUAGGAGUUUGUCCUUGCAGCAUUACUAAAUCGCUUCCUUAGCUGUAAACAUCUUAUAAUCGUAGGUCAUAACUGUCAAGGAAGUGCCUUGCUAGUUUUUAGAUGGAGUUGAUUUUAAAAUAGUGUCACUCUGGCUUUCCUAUGCUCCUGCUUUCCUAACAAAUCUGGUUCAACUUUUUUUUUUUUUAUUCAACAUAAUCUUUUUUUUCCAUGCUACCUCAUUUACAGAGUGCUUCCUAUAGAUAUGGUUGGUCUGUAUGUUUCAUUUUUCAGCUUUGAUUCUUAUUUUUUUGAAUCACACAUGCUUUAUGGGGGCUUCCACUACCAUGAGCCAUAUUUUCUGUAUUACCAGCAAGAUGUUUGGGUUUGUUUUUUGUUUUCUUUAUAUUUCAAAUUUUAUUUUAGAUUUAGGAAGUACGUGUGCAGGUUUGUUAACAUGGGUGUAUUGCAUGACGCUGAUCUUACAAUACCAAUGAUCCCAUCACUCAGGUAGUGAGCAUAAUAUCCAAUAGGUAGUUUUUCAGAACUUGCCUUAUCUUCCCUCUCUCCCUGCUCUCUUAAUUCGAAGCCUAUUUUUCCUAUCUUUAUGUCCACAUGUUUCCAGCAUUUAGCUCCCACUUAUACGUGAGAGUAUGUGGUAUUUGUUUUUCUGUGUCUGCAUUAAUUUACUUAGGAUGAUGGCUUCCAGCUGCAUCUUUUGUUGCAAAGGACAUGACUUUGUUCUUUUUUAUGACUGUGUAGUAUUCCAUGGUGUAUAUGUACCACAUUUUCUUUAUCCAGAACACUGUUGAUAGGCAUCUACAUUGAUUCCAUGUCUUGGCUAUUGUGAAUAGUGCAGCAAUAAACAUGCAUGGUUCAACUUUUAUGGUAACAAA
ensembl:lncRNA novel transcript